rnacentral:ncRNA from 2 species
AACUGAGGUAGAGGAGCAGAAUUUAAGAGUAAGAUUGUGGAGAUAAGCACUAUGAAGCAAUUAGAAAGGAAAUUCUGCCGAAGUAUACAGUAGAGGCUUUAAUGCUGUAUUGCUGGUUUUGCAUAGAAUAUGUGCAGGACUGUCACAACGGACUAGUUUGUGGAGAGCUAUCAUUCAU